AGACGCUCUGCAUCACGAUGAAAUAUUUCUGCCAAUAAGAAAAUAUGAGACGAUCCAGCAGUUUCUAAAAUCUCAGAUAAUUAAUUUACAGGAGAAAUGUUUAAAGAUUCCUCAGUUCCUGAUGUUCAGAACCAGAGAAUCGGGUAAAAACGGAUCUUUACCUUCCGACCGGGCGGGAUCCGGAUCCGGUGAACUCCUGAAAGGAAAACAAGAGAAUCAUCAAGUCCACAGGAUCAUGUUUAACGUCCUCCAUCUGAUGUUUGGGGCUAAAGGCUAAAGGUCAGGCUUAAGGUCAGGUGUGGGUUGUACCUAAGAACUUGACCAGCAGUGAAUGUGGGAACUUCCUCAGAUGCUCCACGUAAAUCUUCAGG